rnacentral:lncRNA from 1 species
GGGCAUAUGGAGGUUCCCAGGCUAGGAAUCGAAUUGGAGCUGUAGCCACUAGCCUACUCCAGAGCCACAGCAAUGCCAGAUCCAAGCUGUGUCUGCAACCUACACCACAGCUCAGGGCAAUGCCGGAUCCUUAACCCACUGAGCAAGGCCAGGGAUCAAACCCGCAACCUCGUGGUUCCUAGUCAGAUUCGUUAACCACUGUGCACGACGGGAACUCCUACUCUUCUAUCUUUUCUUGGUACCCUCUGACUAUGUAAAUUCAGCAAAUGACCUUUCCAUCAUUUAUUUUGUUUUUGUUUUUGUUUGUCUUUUUUCUUUUUAGGGCUGAACCGGUGGCAUAUGAAGUUUCCCAGGCUAGGGGUCUAAUCGGAGGUACAGCUGCCGGCCUUUGCCACAGCCAGAGCAACGUCAGAUCCAAGCCUCAUCUGUGACCUACAGCUCACGACAACACUGGAUCCUUAACUCACUGAGCGAGGGCAGGAUUGAACCUGCAACCUCAUGGUUCCUAGUCAGAUUUGUUUCCAUUGCACCUCAAAGGGAACUCCUCAUCAUUUAACGUAACUGAAAAGUCCUCUCAGUUUUACUCACUUGCAUUUAGAUAAUUGAGAAAAAUAGCUUUCAAGAAGAAUAAGGCAAAACAUGCCCUUCCAUUUUAAUUCUUCAGGAGAAUCUUGUCAACACACGUAAUAUAAUUUUCCAGAAUUAGGGCAGAAGAGAAAGCUAAGUAUUUAAAGUCUGGUUCUCAAAAUUUGUAACUUUUUGGACUCAUGUUCUGGUUGGACCAGAGAACCCGGCAACUGAUUAUCUUUUCAGAAAUGUUAAAGACCUUCCUAAAGCAAGUAGGGAGUAUUAUAGUAGCAAACUAUUCACCCAUUGUGAGCUUUUUGGCAAUUACAGCCAGAAACAAAGACAGGAAGCUGGAAGUGACAAGCCUCUUGGCAUCAAGGAAAUCAGCCACAAAGGCCACAUCCAGAAGUUGGUAACUACCCUCAGAUGUCUUACUUUUGUAAGAGAUCAGCAUGUUAAGGAUUGGGAAAAAUCCUUUCAAUGCGCUCUUGAGGGCAAGACUGUCUUUCACACGGUAUAAUAAGCAAUGUUGAUAAGAACAAACCAGGGUCGGUAAAUAAAGAUGAUGUCUGGGGUCUUUGGUAUCUGAAUAUUGCAAGAUGCACCAUCCUUUAGCAAGAUCUACUUCCAACAUGCUUAUAGGUGCAAACUUGUAGCUAUAAAAUAAAAGUCAUAGUUUGAAUACAGUUUUGAGAAAUUUUACUCGAAUGGAAGAACUCAUUUUCAGAUAAUCCUGAAUAAUGAGUUAAUUCUUUUUUUGUGUUUUUUGGGUGUUUUAGGGCCGCACCAGUGGCAUAUGGAGAGUCCCAGGCUAGGGGUUGAAUCCAAGCUACAGCUGCCAGCCUGCAUCACAGCCACAGCAAUGACAGAUCCAAGCUGUAUCUGCAACCUACACCACAGCUCAUGGCAACGCCAGAUCCUUAACCCACUGAGCAAGGCCAGGGAUCAAACCUAUAUCCUCAGGGAUACUAGUCAGAUUCGUUUCCACUGAGCCAUGAAGAAAACGCCAUAUGAGUUAAUUCUUAACUCCCUCCAUUUAAGACAAGACAGCACACAGUUGGUCAAUCCAAGGAGAGAUUUAUUGUGUAAAUAGUCAGAGGAAUUAGAUUCCAGCCUCUCCUCUGCCAAAAACCAGCUGGGUAAUCUUGACUUCUCUUUGCUUUGGUUGACUUCUCUGAAAAACAAUGACCAUUAGACUAGUUGAUAAAACCCUUUCCACUUCUAAUAUUCAAACGUUAAGUAUAUGAAAAUGCUAAAGAGUAACGGGGAGAAGGUAAAUCACAUUAUAAACAACUGUCUUCCUUUUGUACAUUCAGCAAACAUUUACUGAGGCUUCUACUGAAUUGACCCAUACCAAGCUCUGAGAAUACGAGAGUAAGAAAGAUCCUACCAAUGAGGAAGUCAGGCAACAACCAAGCAAACCAACCAGACAAAGAAACAAGAGUCUAAGAAUCAUAGGAAAAACAUUUUUUAGAUAAGAUAGUCAGGGAAUGGCACCUCCGGAGAAGUUAUAUCUGAACCUAAAUAAUGAAAAAAGCCAUAUGAAGAGCAUUUCAGGGAGAGUAACCUUCUAGUGCCUAGGCCCUAAAAAAAAGGGAAAAACUUAGUGAACUGGAGAAACUGAAAAAAAGGAAAAGUAUGCCUAAUAAUUUAGCAGAAAAGUGGCACAAGAAGGUCUGAAGAGGUAUUUAAGGGUCAGGACAGUCUUGUUAAGCUGUUCUAAGAAAUCAGGACUCAUUCAUAGAAGAUGGUGGAGAAAUCACUGAAGGACUUUAAGUAGGGCAGCAAUACUUGCUGUUGUAGAAAAUGGACUGGAAAGGGAUAGAAUCACUUAGGAAGUAUGAAAUCACUUAGGAGGUUGUGGUAGUUACAGGUCAAGUAUGAUGGUUGUUUGACUAAGAUACUGCAGUGAGGAUUAGGGAAGGGGAGAGAUUUAUCAUGGAGGUAGAAUCAAAAGAGUUUACUAAUAGACUGUUUUUGCAUAUUUGAGAAAAUGAAUCAAAGUUGAGAAAUAAUAUGGUGCUAAGUUAACUGAUAUGGGCAGAAUGCCACUAAGAACUGGAGGAAAAAUAAAAGAGCUCAGUUUAGAAAUGUUUGAUAUGUGUGAGAUACAUGAUGUAACCAAUAGACAUCUGAACCCUCUGUUCUU